ACUGUCUAUAAAUACACAAAUUCUCAUUUGAGCAACCAACCAAAAUAAGUCUUCAAAGAAUUAUUGCUUUACUCAAUGGCAAACAAGAUGCAUAAAUCCUUCUUGUUCUUUGUCAUCUAUGCCUUCGUUAUUGCAGUACAAUUGAUGCAGGUAGAAGGUAACACACCAUGCACAGUAAUUCUGGCAAGUUGUGCUCAAGUGAAUUGUCAUGAGAAGUGUACCAACUAUCGAGCAGGCUCUGCAGCUACACUUUUAAGAUCCAAUUGUAACUUCUACAACUUAUGCACAUGUGAAUUCGAUAGGCCACCAGUAGGAACAUCAUGCACAGUUGGUAAUGGACUCUGCUCAGAUCAAUGCGGUGAAUCUUGUUGUAAUGUAAAUUGUAAGGCUAGAUAUCCAUCCACAGGUACUGGGGUAUGUGUGCAUAACUAUGAUCUCUAUUUUUGUCAGUGUGUCUACCAACGUUGAGUGUAUUCUGUAUUGGAAUAAAUAAGAUCAAAUUAAAUAAAAUUUUAUUUUAAAUUA